UACGGAGGGGGCUAGCGUUGUUCGGAAUUACUGGGCGUAAAGCGCACGUAGGCGGCUUUGUAAGUUAGAGGUGAAAGCCCGGGGCUCAACUCCGGAAUUGCCUUUAAGACUGCAUCGCUAGAAUUGUGGAGAGGUAAGUGGAAUUCCGAGUGUAGAGGUGAAAUUCGUAGAUAUUCGGAAGAACACCAGCGGCGAAGGCGGCACUCUGGGCUGGUACUGACGCUGAGGAGCGAAAAGCGUGGGUAGCAAACAGG
rnacentral:rRNA from 1 species